rnacentral:rRNA from 1 species
UACGGGGGGGGUAAGCGUUGUUCGGAUUCAUUGGGCGUAAAGGGUGUGUAGGUGGCGCCGUAAGUCGGGUGUGAAAUUUCGGAGCUUAACUCCGAAACUGCAUUCGAUACUGCGGUGCUUGAGGACUGGAGAGGAGACUGGAAUUCAUGGUGUAGCAGUGAAAUGCGUAGAGAUCAUGAGGAAGACCAGUGGCGAAGGCGGGUCUCUGGACAGUUCCUGACACUGAGACACGAAGGCCAGGGGAGCAAACGGG